rnacentral:lncRNA from 1 species
AACAGCCCCAUUCUUGCCUUGCUGGGCCUGGAGACUUCUUAAAAGAGCAUGCCUCUGUCAGGCGGGUGAGGGAGGGCCACUAGCUGGAGUUGAUUUGCCAGUGCAGCCUGGAGCCCUCGACUCCCCUUCCCUGUGAUGGACUGAUGUAAUCCUCCUUUCAGCUCUCAGGGACAAAGCAGGAGCUCCAAAGUUCUGCUCUCCACCCUGGUACCCCUGGGCCUGGUGCUGGCGCUAGGGACCGUGGCUGUAUGGGUGGCCAGAGCCCGGCACCGGAAGAAUGUGGACCGCAUAUCGAUUAGAAGCUACCGGACAGACAUCAGCAUGUCGGACUUCGAGAGCUCCAGAGAUUUUGGUGCCAAUGACAACAUGGGAGCCUCCUCAGUCACUCAGGAGACAGUGCUCGAAGGGAAAGUCGGUAUGUCUGGUGCCCAGGCCGUGGGACAGGCUUUGACCCCGUCCCUGGCGAGAAUACGGAGGGUGGAAACCGACCGCUCUCUCCACGCAGAGGCCAUGGCCAACGCCGAGAGCACCACGGACACUGAAGAGCCCAAGAGGGCAAAAAGGUCAUCCAAGGAGGAAGCUGACAUGGCCUACUCGGCCUUCCUGCUCCAGUCCAGCAGCAUUGCUGCCCAGGCCCAGGACGGCCCCAAGGACACCUAAGCAGCGCCGGCCGCCUGUUGCUUGCCCGUGACAAUCACCUUCAGAAUCAUGUUGAUCUUUGGGGCCCGGCUCCGGGGGCCUCCACUGCCUGCCUUCGCCCCCCUGGGCUUUCCCUCAUCCUCAGAGGUGCACUACUCCACCUUCGCCACCCUUGGUGACACUGAAGCCUGACCUAAUCGCUCCUUAGGGCUAGGCAGCGAUUAGGGGAGAGGCUCCCACCUGCAACUCCUUUCUGUUGAGAGGACUUGGGGUGCUGGGGAGGGAUUCGGGGAGGGACAACUGGGGCUCCUCUCAGGAGAGAGCCACUUGGAGCCCCCUGUGCCCCAAAGGGGAGAUUUGCCCCUCCACUCCGCUCUGCCUCCCUCCCUUCCUCUCUUCUCCUUUCCUUCAUCCCAAAGACAUGCGUGAAUCCAGGUGCCCUGCUAGACACCGGGACAGGUGUGCCUCAAAGCCAGAUCAUGGCGAAAAGGCUACGCAUGGCCCUGGAAAAGGCCUGAGUCCUCUCUGUGUCACAAGACCUCUCACCUCUGCCCUUGCUGGGUGACAUCAUAAAGUGCCAGGGUCCUGGGGCACCCACACAGUCUUCACAGAUACCCAUUCUUACACCACUGGACAAAACAGGGAGGACCUGAGAGGGACCCUCGAGGGAACCCCGUGACAUAAACCAGUGCCAAAGCAGAUUUGGCGUCUCCUGUCUUCUUGACCAGCGAUCUCUCUUCAAGACCCCUGUCCCCUGUUGGAGGCAGUUGUAGAAUAAGCAGGAAGGAAAGAAAAACAUACAUGGAGACAGAGCUUUCCCAGGCCCUAACCCAGGGAGGACAACCCUUUCCCUUCCUGUCACUCACGUGGGUCUAGGAUGGAGGAACGAUCAACUGCAACUUGAAGAGUUCCAAGUGAAGAGGAGGAAGAGCUGGUUGACCGAUCCUGGGAGGAGCUGAUCUCCCAAGAGCUAAAGAUGAAGGUCUUUUUCCCUCUCAGCUCGCUCCGUACUUCACCCAGCAUCUACAAGCUGGCACUUGCUAACAAAUCAGAAAUGUUACUUCAUAAUUAAAGACCAUGAUUGCCACCAAGGAGGCUCAGAUUGCAUUUGUCCCCGUACCUGGGGUUUCCCAGACAAUCCUUCCAGAGCAUUUUGCUUUGGUCCCACUUUUAGGCACCCAUGUCAUGCGUCGAAACCAACAGGCUCCUUCACCUCCCUGGCUGAGCUGAAGGGGGCUGGGAUGUGACGAAAAGUGGAACCAAGAUCAUCUUCAAUAAAAGAAUUGUUUUGCGUCUAUUCCAGUACUCAAGACCCUAAAGUUCUAUAUUGUAGAACAUCAGUGAGACUUCAGUGGGGUGCACUGAAAGCAAGUGGAACCUCGUAGGUGCUGAAAGAAAACUCUUGGUAAACCGUCCAUGGGACACUUAACUUUGAAUCUCGUUGCUCUCCAAGGUCAAGAUGCUGCUAAACAAAAC